UACGAAGGGGGCUAGCGUUGCUCGGAAUCACUGGGCGUAAAGGGUGCGUAGGCGGGUCUUUAAGUCAGGGGUGAAAUCCUGGAGCUCAACUCCAGAACUGCCUUUGAUACUGAAGAUCUUGAGUUCGGGAGAGGUGAGUGGAACUGCGAGUGUAGAGGUGAAAUUCGUAGAUAUUCGCAAGAACACCAGUGGCGAAGGCGGCUCACUGGCCCGAUACUGACGCUGAGGCACGAAGCGUGGGAGCAACAGG
rnacentral:rRNA from 1 species